CUACCCCUCGUACCUUUUGCAUCAUGAUUUAGCAAGCAAUAGUCAAGCAAAAAGUAUUUUAGUUUGACCCCCCGAAACCAAGUGAGCUACUCCAAGACAACCUAAAUCUAGGGUGAACCCGUCUCUGUGGCAAAAGAGUGGGAAGAGCUUUGAGUAGGGGUGACAGACCUACCGAACUUGGUAAUAGCUGGUUGCUUGAGAAACGAAUAGAAGUUCCGCUUCUUAUAUUCUUCCCAAAAUAAGAAAGUCAGUCAAAGGAGGUACAGCUCCUUUGAAACAAGAUACAACUUUCCCAGGAGGGUAAAGAUCACAUUUCACCAAGGUACUUAUGUUUCGGUGGGCCUAAAAGCAGCCAUCCAAUCGGAAAGCGUUAAAGCUCUAUCAUUUAAUACUGAUAACCAAUCUUAACCCCCUAACCAUAUCAAGCUAUCCCAUCAAGACAUGGGAGAAAUUAUGCUAAAAUGAGUAACAAGAGAGGCCUCUCUCCUCGCACACAUGUAAAUCGGGACGGACCCCCCACCGAAACUUAUACGGGCCCAAAUUAAAGAGGGCAUUGAAUGAUUACCAGAAAACUAUCCGCCGUUGAUCCCACACUGGUGUGCUUCCAAGGAAAGGCCAAAAGGGAAAGAAGGAACUCGGCAAACAAGCCUCGCCUGUUUACCAAAAACAUCGCCUCUUGUACA
rnacentral:rRNA from 1 species